CUGCUGAACAUGAUACCAUAAUUCCCCGUGCUGUUGCUGUGAAAGCUGCAAUGGCAACAGUAUCUUUAUAGUAAUCAGUGAGUCCUCCCCCAAUAGACAUGGAUAUGACAUUCACUCCAUCUUCGACAGCCUUGUCCAUCGCAGCCAUUAUAUCAGAGCCAAAACACCCACCAACCCAACAUACUUUGUAAACUGCUACUCGGGCUUGUGUAGCCAUCCCACGUGCUAUCCCAGUAGCAUAACCGAAUAGGCUAGCUCCCGAAACCGCUGACCCAGCUGCUGUAGUUGAAGUGUGAGUUCCAUGGCCAUCAUCAUCUCUUGGGGA
rnacentral:misc_RNA from 1 species